CCUACGGGGUGCAGCAGUGAGGAAUAUUGGUCAAUGGACGAGAGUCUGAACCAGCCAAGUAGCGUGAAGGAUGACUGCCCUAUGGGUUGUAAACUUCUUUUAUAUGGGAAUAAAACGUUCCACGUGUGGGAUUUUGUAUGUACCCUAUGAAUAAGGCUCGGCUAACUCCGUGCCAGCAGCCGCGGUAAUACGGAGGAUCCGAGCGUUAUCCGGAUUUAUUGGGGUUAAAGGGAGCGUAGGUGGAUUGUUAAGGCAGUUGUGAAAGUUUGCGGCUCAACCGUAAAAUUGCAGUUGAAACUGGCAGUCUUGAGUACAGUAGAGGUGUGCGGAAUUCGUGGUGUAGCGGUGAAAUGCUUAGAUAUCACGAAGAACUCCGAUUGCGAAGGCAGUUCACUGGACUGCAACUGACACUGAGGCUCGAAAGUGUGGGUAUCAAACAGGAUUAGAUACCCCUGUAGUC
rnacentral:rRNA from 1 species